rnacentral:rRNA from 1 species
UUGAAGAGUUUGAUCAUGGCUCAGAUUGAACGCUGGCGGCAGGCCUAACACAUGCAAGUCGAGCGGUAGCACAGAGAGCUUGCUCUCGGGUGACGAGCGGCGGACGGGUGAGUAAUGUCUGGGAAACUGCCUGAUGGAGGGGGAUAACUACUGGAAACGGUAGCUAAUACCGCAUAACGUCGCAAGACCAAAGUGGGGGACCUUCGGGCCUCAUGCCAUCAGAUGUGCCCAGAUGGGAUUAGCUAGUAGGUGGGGUAACGGCUCACCUAGGCGACGAUCCCUAGCUGGUCUGAGAGGAUGACCAGCCACACUGGAACUGAGACACGGUCCAGACUCCUACGGGAGGCAGCAGUGGGGAAUAUUGCACAAUGGGCGCAAGCCUGAUGCAGCCAUGCCGCGUGUGUGAAGAAGGCCUUCGGGUUGUAAAGCACUUUCAGCGGGGAGGAAGGCGGUGAGGUUAAUAACCUCAUCGAUUGACGUUACCCGCAGAAGAAGCACCGGCUAACUCCGUGCCAGCAGCCGCGGUAAUACGGAGGGUGCAAGCGUUAAUCGGAAUUACUGGGCGUAAAGCGCACGCAGGCGGUCUGUCAAGUCGGAUGUGAAAUCCCCGGGCUUAACCUGGGAACUGCAUUCGAAACUGGCAGGCUAGAGUCUUGUAGAGGGGGGUAGAAUUCCAGGUGUAGCGGUGAAAUGCGUAGAGAUCUGGAGGAAUACCGGUGGCGAAGGCGGCCCCCUGGACAAAGACUGACGCUCAGGUGCGAAAGCGUGGGGAGCAAACAGGAUUAGAUACCCUGGUAGUCCACGCCGUAAACGAUGUCGAUUUGGAGGUUGUGCCCUUGAGGCGUGGCUUCCGGAGCUAACGCGUUAAAUCGACCGCCUGGGGAGUACGGCCGCAAGGUUAAAACUCAAAUGAAUUGACGGGGGGCCCGCACAAGCGGUGGAGCAUGUGGUUUAAUUCGAUGCAACGCGAAGAACCUUACCUGGUCUUGACAUCCACAGAACUUUCCAGAGAUGGAUUGGUGCCUUCGGGAACUGUGAGACAGGUGCUGCAUGGCUGUCGUCAGCUCGUGUUGUGAAAUGUUGGGUUAAGUCCCGCAACGAGCGCAACCCUUAUCCUUUGUUGCCAGCGGUCCGGCCGGGAACUCAAAGGAGACUGCCAGUGAUAAACUGGAGGAAGGUGGGGAUGACGUCAAGUCAUCAUGGCCCUUACGACCAGGGCUACACACGUGCUACAAUGGCAUAUACAAAGAGAAGCGACCUCGCGAGAGCAAGCGGACCUCAUAAAGUAUGUCGUAGUCCGGAUUGGAGUCUGCAACUCGACUCCAUGAAGUCGGAAUCGCUAGUAAUCGUAGAUCAGAAUGCUACGGUGAAUACGUUCCCGGGCCUUGUACACACCGCCCGUCACACCAUGGGAGUGGGUUGCAAAAGAAGUAGGUAGCUUAACCUUCGGGAGGGCGCUUACCACUUUGUGAUUCAUGACUGGGGUGAAGUCGUAACAAGGUAACCGUAGGGGAACCUGCGGUUGGAUCACCUCCUU